UCCAAAGACUCUGCAUGCAGAGGCUCAA
rnacentral:piRNA from 1 species